rnacentral:rRNA from 1 species
GAUGAACGCUGGCGGCGUGCCUAAUACAUGCAAGUCGAGCGAACAGACGAGGAGCUUGCUCCUCUGACGUUAGCGGCUGACGGGUGAGUAACACGUGGAUAACCUACCUAUAAUACUGGGAUAACUUCGGGAAACCGGAGCUAAUACCGGAUAAUAUAUUGAACCGCAUGGUUCAAUAGUUAAAGACGGUUUUGCUGUCACUUAUAGCUGGAUCCGCGCCGCAUUAGCUAGUUGGUAAGGUAACGGCUUACCAAGGCAACGAUGCGUAGCCGACCUGAGAGGGUGAUCGGCCACACUGGAACUGAGACACGGUCCAGACUCCUACGGGAGGCAGCAGUAGGGAAUCUUCCGCAAUGGGCGAAAGCCUGACGGAGCAACGCCGCGUGAGUGAUGAAGGUCUUCGGAUCGUAAAACUCUGUUAUUAGGGAAGAACAAAUGUGUAAGUAAAUAUGCACGUCUUGACGGUACCUAAUCAGAAAGCAACGGCUAACUACGUG